rnacentral:misc_RNA from 1 species
GAUGAAGAACGUAGCGAAAUGCGAUAAGUAAUGCGAAUUGCAGAAUCCGUGAGUCAUCGAAUCUUUGGACGCACAUUGCGCCCUCUGGUAUUCCGGAGGGCAUGCCUGUUCGAGCGUCAUUAUCACCCCUCAAGCCCGGCUUGUUGUUGGAUGCAGCGCUUAUCCCGCUCCUCCCAAAGAUAAUGACGGCGUCUGCGACGACUCCUGUACACUGAGCUUUCGGGCACGUACACGGCUAGAAGUCCAGACCCGGUCGCCGUCCCCCCCGCGGGGACACCCAUUACCACAAGGUUGACCUCGGAUCAGGUAGGAAUACCCGCUGAACUUAAGCAUAUCAAUAAGCGGAGGA